rnacentral:rRNA from 1 species
GACGAACGCUGGCGGCGUGCCUAAUACAUGCAAGUAGAACGCUGAAGGAGGAGCUUGCUUCUCUGGAUGAGUUGCGAACGGGUGAGUAACGCGUAGGUAACCUGCCUGGUAGCGGGGGAUAACUAUUGGAAACGAUAGCUAAUACCGCAUAAUAUUGACUAUUGCAUGAUAGUCAGUUGAAAGGUGCAACUGCACCACUACCAGAUGGACCUGCGUUGUAUUAGCUAGUUGGUGGGGUAACGGCUCACCAAGGCGACGAUACAUAGCCGACCUGAGAGGGUGGUCGGCCACACUGGGACUGGGACACGGCCCAGACUCCUACGGGAGGCAGCAGUAGGGAAUCUUCGGCAAUGGACGGAAGUCUGACCGAGCAACGCCGCGUGAGUGAAGAAGGGUUUCGGAUCGUAAAGCUCUGUUGUAAGAGAAGAACGAGUGUGAGAGUGGAAAGCUCACACUGUGACGGUAUCUUACCAGAAAGGGACGGCUAACUACGUG